CUGAGUAUGGAGAAUCUCACAGCGAGCGAGAUUGCAGGAUUCGGGGUGGGGGCGCUUCUGUUGUGCGCCACCAUAGCUGCCCCAAGAGUUGAUGCCUUCAUCUCAGCCUCUCAGAGGAGGUCAGUCCCCAUAUCUUCAGGUCUUUGGAUAUGUGUAAGAGAUGUGGCAAUCUAAGGAUGAUAGCAUGCUCGCAGUGCAAA